GCCCUGGUGGCUCACUGGUCUAAGCGCGUGCACCAUAACUGCGGCGACCCGGGUUCGAUUCCGGCCCGGGUCA